rnacentral:rRNA from 1 species
GACGAACCGUGCGAACGUUGUUCGGAAUCACUGGGCUUAAAGGGCGCGUAGGCGGGCGGCCGCGUCCGGGGUGAAAUCCCACGGCUCAACCGUGGAACGGCCUCGGAUACGGGCGGCCUCGAGGGGGUAGGGGCAUCUGGAACUGUGAGUGGAGCGGUGAAAUGCGUUGAUAUUCACAGGAACUCCGGUGGCGAAGGCGAGGUGCUGGACCCCAUCUGACGCUGACGGCG